UACAGAGGUCUCAAGCGUUGUUCGGAUUCAUUGGGCGUAAAGGGCGCGUAGGCGGUCGCGUGUGUCUGCUGUGAAAGCGCACGGCUCAACCGUGUGAAGUCGGUAGAAACUGCGGGACUUGAGGCUGGGAGAGGUUGGUGGAAUUCCCUGUGUAGCGGUGAAAUGCGUAGAUAUAGGGGAGAACACUCGUGGCGAAGGCGGCCAGCUGGACCAGCCCUGACGCUGAGGCGCGACAGCGUGGGGAGCAAACAGG
rnacentral:rRNA from 1 species